ensembl:lncRNA
GGGGAGAGCUGGCUGAGGCAUUCUUAGGGACCUCUUGUACAGUGCCUGGGAGCUGCAUUAACCUUCUGCUUGUCUGAGCCACACUACAGGUAUUCCUGUGUCCAGGUUGUUGAUCCCAACCUUAACUUGCUAACAUGAGCUAUCAGCUUGACCUACAGACUUGCUUGUUGAUAUCUGGGCUCCGCUGAUUUUAGUUACAGUCUAUGGACUUGCUCUGCUCACCUCAUUUGGAUGCUAUGGGAAUGGGCACUUAUUAGGUCUCAGCACUCAACUCUGCUUCCUGCAACCCUGCAGUAGCCCUCACUGUAGCCUGGUGAGGUAAAACCAGGAGGUAAGAGUUGGAGGAAGAUUGUUCUCAGCUGGUAAGAAGCUAGAAGCAGUUGUAUCUUGAAGCCAAUCUAUGAAGAAAUAUUUUCUCUGCUCAAGAAAUUUGCCAGCAGGGAUAAUAAAAGCAAUCAUUGAUGUGAAGUUUUGUGGACCAACAAAACUUCAGGUGAAUGGGAACCUGUGAAUGCUGAAACAUCAUAAACAGCACUACAAUUCAUCACCAGAGAGUUGUGUGCAGCUCAGUGUGCCUGACCCAAGACUCAGAUCUGAGCACCUGCCCAUUUUGGGGAAGUGAAGCAUCUGGCACAGCCUUCAGAGCUGAGAGUUGUCUUUAUUGUGGGCUCUGGCAAACUUCAGAUUUGAAUUACCUGGCACUGUGGGGAAGUAGGAACUCGGCAGUUGUCCCUUCAAAGUGUUAUACUACAAAUGUUGGACUGUUGUAGCUGAGGAUGAAUUGGAUAAGAAAACUAUACUGAUAACAGUGCACAUCUCUUUGAUACAAGAACACCUUGAAAUUCUGUCUAGCUAACCCCAUUGUGGCUACAUACAUUAUUUCUGCAAAAGACUCCUCACUAGAUGAUUGUGAUUCCCUAAAACAUGGAGAUGUAGAAUACUUGGCUACAUGACAAACAUUUGUACUCACAAGGGUAGUGCAAAAAAAUGUGGAUUAUAUAGAUUAUAAUGUUGGUAUGGAAUAGCUAUAAAAGACUGGAGUGAGAUUCUAAAUGAGAUUUCUGUGUAAUGUUCUCUUUAUGUCAAGGCUAGUUAUUCACUUUCUGGAGGAAAUGCUUACCUCUUGGUUACAGUUUGUCAAGGCUUUUGGGGAUAUUAGCAUGUUACUUUGAAGAUGGCCGUGCUAGUUUUCUGAGUUUUUUGUUGGAAUUCUAAGUGCUGAAUAUUACAAAUAAUCUCUGGAAACUACAUAUAAGUACUCUUACAGAAUUCAGUGAUCUUCCAAAGAAUUUUCUGAGAAAACCAAAGAAUUUUCUGAUGAGUGUGACUUGGGAGCUUAAUCUUGCUAUUUUGUUAUCCUAGGAUGGCUGAUUUAUUUUGUCCAUAUGAUUUCAAGUGCAAUUUCAGUUACCUAUGAAAAGUUUGAUGAAGUCACUGGGAACUGGAUGGACCAAGAACAGCUCUCGAUCCUUAUUGUUUAGAAUUGAGCAAGUCCAAUAGGUCUUCAAUUUUAUGUAGAAAAAAAUAUAUAUAGGUGAAGUUUCAAGGAUAAACAGAUCUUUAGUCUUCAAAAUACAAUGGAAGACAAAUCAAAUCUACAGUAGUAAAUUCCUACAAAAUGAAUUCAGAAAUGAGAAGUUUGUGGCUUCCAAAAUCAGACAUAAGUACUCAAAAUGAUAGGUGAGUGUGUAAGAAAAGAAAACAUUUCUGUAAGCAUGUAUUCAAUAUUUAUAUAAUGUAUCCGUAUGCAUGUAUAUAUAUUUAGUUUUA